GCUUUAUAAAUAAUUUAAAUUUAUCUGAAUUAAAUAAUAAAAGUUAAGUUUAAUUAUUUUAUUUUGUUGGGGUGAUGUGAGUAUAAAUAUAAUUAACUGCUUAAAAAAAAUUCUAUAUAAAAGAGUUUGAAAUUUAAAGGAUCCUUUAUAAAGAUUAAAAGAUUAAGUU
rnacentral:rRNA from 1 species